GUUCAAGAAGCUCUAAAAUAUAUUUCUGCAUUCAGAAGUUUUACAUAACCUACUUCAAGAAGAUAUGUAAUUAAUGAAAUACAAUUUUCUGUCCAGAAAUACUGGAUUUGGCAGCCUCUCUACGGCUUUGACCCGUCUGUGUAGGAUUCUGGUUGCUGCUAUGUUCACUGUUCAAAGUGGUUGGUCACAGUCACUCCCUCCAAAAAAUGAUUGCAGUUCAGGCAAUGGAAACGUCUAUAUAUGAUUAUAAUGUGUCGACACCUCAAUUCGUAAAUGGUUAUCGCUGUGACCCAGAUCCCAGAAAUUGUUCAUCUCAGCUACCCUUUCCUUCUUUCCUUGUCAGAAGCAGUAUAACAGCUAAGGAGAUUAUUUGUUCUUGAUCUCUUGAUUCUUGAGGUUGUUGUUAUGGCCGAGGAGAGCAGCCUGAAUGUUGUUGCAAGAACACAAGAGGCUAGCACAUCAAAAUCGCAUGAAGAGGAGGAGGAGAAGAAGCAGAGCAUAAAUGGGGAUUCGCAAGAGACAAAGAAGAGCAAAGAAGACCAGAAAACUAAUUCAGUUCCAUUUCACAAGCUCUUUUCAUUUGCAGAUUCCAUAGAUAUCCUGUUGAUGAUUGUAGGCACAAUUGGCGCUGUUGGGAAUGGGAUUUCUCUGCCACUUAUGACGGUAUUCCUUGGAGAUAUGAUUGAUGCCUUUGGACAAAACAAGAAUAAAGAUGUGGUACACGUAGUUUCGAAGGUGUCUCUAAAAUUUCUUUACUUGGCAGUAGGGACUGCCGUAGCAUCAUUUCUUCAGGUGGAUUGUUGGAUUGUCACAGGGGAGAGACAGGCUGCACGGAUAAGGGGUUUGUAUUUAAAAAGUAUUUUGAGACAAGAUGUAGCCUUUUUUGAUAAGGAAACAAACACCGGAGAGGUCAUUGGUAGAAUGUCUGGCGACACUGUUCUUAUACAAGAUGCUAUGGGAGAGAAGGUUGGGAAAUUUUUACAGCUUUUAUCAACAUUCGUUGGAGGCUUUGCAGUGGCAUUUAUCAAGGGAUGGCUUCUUACAAUUGUCUUGUUAUCCUCUAUUCCCCUGCUAGUCUUAGCUGGUGCAGCCAUGUCUAUCACUAUAGCUAGGAUGGCAUCCCGUGGACAAAAUGCUUAUGCAAAAGCUGCAACUGUAGUUGAGCAGACUAUUGGCUCAAUCAGAACAGUUGCAUCGUUUGCUGGGGAGAAGCAGGCUAUAAGUAAUUACAAGAAGUUUCUGGUUACAGCUUACAAUUCAGGAGUUCAUGAGGGCUCUGCUACAGGAUUAGGACUUGGCAUUGUUAUGCUAAUUAUAUUCUGUAGUUAUGCUUUGGCGGUAUGGUUUGGCGGAAAGAUGAUACUGGAAAAGGGAUACACAGGGGGCAUCGUGAUUAAUGUGAUAAUUGCUGUGUUGACAGGUUCCUUGUCCUUGGGGCAGGCAUCUCCAUGCAUGAGUGCAUUUGCUGCUGGACAAGCUGCAGCUUAUAAGAUGUUUGAGACUAUCAACAGGAAGUCAGAGAUUGAUGCUUAUGACACAAGGGGAAAGAUAUUGGAUGACAUCCAUGGAGAUAUAGAGCUGAGGGAAGUAUAUUUCAGUUAUCCAUCAAGACCAGAUGAGCAAAUAUUUACUGGAUUCUCUCUUUCCAUUCCAAGUGGCACGACUGCAGCUUUGGUCGGACAAAGUGGAAGUGGGAAGUCAACAGUGAUCAGUCUAAUAGAGAGAUUUUAUGAUCCACAAGCUGGUGAAGUUCUCAUAGAUGGCAUUAACCUAAAAGAGUUUCAGCUUAAGUGGAUUAGGAAGCAAAUUGGACUCGUAAGCCAAGAACCUGUGUUGUUUAUGUCCAGCAUUAGGGACAAUAUUGCAUAUGGGAAAGAUGAAGCAACCACUGAAGAGAUAAGACUUGCAGCUGAAAUUGCCAAUGCUGCUAAAUUCAUAGACAAACUACCUCAGGGACUGGACACCAUGGUUGGUGAGCAUGGAACUCAGCUGUCUGGUGGACAGAAGCAGAGAAUUGCAAUAGCGAGAGCAAUCUUAAAACAUCCUCAAAUUUUACUCCUAGAUGAAGCUACCAGUGCACUUGAUGCAGAAUCUGAAAGAACAGUACAGGAGGCAUUGGACAGGAUUAUGGUCAACCGAACAACUGUUAUUGUUGCCCAUCGUCUGAGUACAGUAAGGAAUGCUGAUAUAAUUGCUGUAAUCCACUGUGGAAAAAUAGUUGAGAAAGGUUCACAUUCAGAACUACUUGAGGAUCCUGAUGGAGCAUACUCCCAGCUUAUAAGGUUACAAGUAAAUAAGGAUUCUGAACAUGCUGCAGAUAAGCAUGAAAGAUCAGAGAUUUCUUCAGAAUCCUGUAGACAGCCAAGUCAAAGAAAUUCCUUGCAAAGGUCCAUUUGUAAAGGAUCAUCUGUUGGUGGAAAAAGCAAUUGCCAUUCAUUCUCAGCCUCAUCAAGUAUACCUAUAGGACUUAACGUCUCUGAAAAUUUCCAAGAAGAACUAGAAGUUUCUCCACAACAGAAAAAAACUCCAGAGGUGCCAAUCCGCCGCUUGGCAUGUCUCAACAAGCCUGAGAUUCCAGUGCUUAUAGCUGGAUCUAUAGCUGCAAGUAUCAAUGGUGCAAUAUUUCCCAUGUUUGGUAUACUAUUUUCUAGAGCGAUUAAAGCAUUUUAUGAACCACCUCAUGAAUUGAAGAAGGAUUCGAACUUCUGGGCAAUAAUCUUUAUCUUAAUGGGCUUUAUAUCUUUUUUAGCAUCUCCAACACAAUUAUACUUCUUUGCUGUGGCUGGGUCUAAGUUGAUCCAACGGAUCAGAUCAAUGUGUUUUGAGAAGGUGGUUCAUAUGGAGGUUGGUUGGUUUGAUGAUCCUGAGCACUCAAGUGGUGCAAUUGGUGCUAGGCUUUCAGCAGAUGCAGCAAUAAUUCGUGCUUUAGUUGGAGACGCACUAGCUCAGUUGGUCCAAAAUAUUUCAUCAGCAGUAGCAGGUCUAGUCAUUGCCUUCACUGCAAGUUGGCAAUUGGCCUUCAUUAUUCUUGUACUAAUCCCUCUCAUAGGAAUCAACGGAUAUGUUCAAGUGAAGUUCAUGCAAGGGUUCAGUGCAGAUGCAAAGAUGAUGUAUGAGGAAGCAAGCCAAGUUGCAAAUGAUGCAGUAGGGAGUAUAAGAACUGUUGCCUCUUUCUGUGGGGAAGAAAAGGUGAUGCAACUGUACAAAAAGAAAUGUGAAGGCCCUUUGAAGACAGGAGUAAGGCAAGGCCUUAUAAGUGGAGUCGGAUUUGGUGUAUCUUUCUUUUUGCUGUUCUGUGUCUAUGCAACCAGUUUCUAUGCAGGAGCUCAGCUUGUUCAGCAUGGGAAAACAAAAUUCUCGGAUGUUUUCCAAGUUUUCUUUGCUUUAACCAUGGCAGCUAUUGGAAUUUCUCAAUCAAGCUCUUUUGCUCCUGACUCUUCCAAGGCCAAGAAUGCUGCUGCUUCAAUAUUUUCAAUUAUUGACAGAAAGUCAAAGAUAGAUCCAAGCGAUGAGUCAGGAAUGACUCUAGAGAAUGUACGAGGAGAAAUUGAGCUUCGUCAUAUAAGCUUUAAGUAUCCAUCAAGGCCAGAUGUUCAAAUUUUCCGAGACCUUAGCUUGGCUAUUCAUUCAGGCAAGACUGUGGCUCUAGUUGGAGAAAGUGGAAGUGGGAAAUCAACUGUCAUCUCAUUGUUACAAAGAUUUUAUGAUCCGGAUUCCGGUCAUAUAACUCUUGAUGGAGUUGAAAUUCAAAAGCUCCAACUCAAGUGGUUGAGGCAGCAAAUGGGGCUUGUGAGCCAAGAACCAGUCCUGUUUAAUGAUACAAUCCGUGCAAACAUUGCAUAUGGAAAGAAUGGAAAAGCAACUGAGGCUGAAAUUCUUGCUGCAUCAGAGUUGGCAAAUGCUCACAACUUCAUUAGUUCAUUACCACAGGGCUAUGACACCUUUGUAGGUGAACGAGGAGUACAAUUAUCUGGUGGGCAAAAGCAAAGGAUAGCCAUUGCAAGGGCAAUAGUAAAGAAUCCAACAAUUCUUUUGCUUGAUGAGGCGACAAGCGCACUAGACGCAGAAUCAGAGCGAGUGGUACAGGAUGCAUUAGAUAAAGUUAUGGUGGACAGAACCACUGUAGUUGUUGCUCACCGGCUCACCACCAUUAAAGGUGCCGACAUUAUUGCUGUAGUGAAGAACGGUGUGAUUGCUGAGAAAGGGAAGCAUGAUACAUUAAUGAAGAUCACCGAUGGAGCUUAUGCUUCCUUGGUUGCACUUCACAUGAAUUCAACAUAAGGAGAAAAAUAAAUUUUCUGCUUUAUUUGUUGCUAGUGGAGCAAGUUGAACGCAGAAAAGGUUUUGAACCGAAGAAUAACAGCGUUCUAUUACUCUGGCCUGCAGCUGAAUUUGCAGUCAUCUGCAAAAGGAAUAAUUUAGUUCUCUCUACCCCUUUUUCUUUUGGUAAUAUGAAUUAUUUAGUUCACUGAAUCAUUCUUUUGGAAAUCUGUAUAGUCUUCAAAGCAUGGAAAUUAAGCAGUUCAGCUUAAGAAAGUGAAGAAACAACUGGCAACAAGAAGCAUAGUUUUGAACCU
rnacentral:misc_RNA from 1 species